rnacentral:rRNA from 1 species
GAUGAACGCUGGCGGCGUGCCUAAUACAUGCAAGUCGAGCGAACAGACGAGGAGCUUGCUCCUCUGACGUUAGCGGCGGACGGGUGAGUAACACGUGGAUAACCUACCUAUAAGACUGGGAUAACUUCGGGAAACCGGAGCUAAUACCGGAUCAUAUAUUGAACCGCAUGGUUCAAUAGUGAAAGACGGUUUUGCUGUCACUUAUAGAUGGAUCCGCGCCGCAUUAGCUAGUUGGUAAGGUAACGGCUUACCAAGGCGACGAUGCGUAGCCGACCUGAGAGGGUGAUCGGCCACACUGGAACUGAGACACGGUCCAGACUCCUACGGGAGGCAGCAGUAGGGAAUCUUCCGCAAUGGGCGAAAGCCUGACGGAGCAACGCCGCGUGAGUGAUGAAGGUCUUCGGAUCGUAAAACUUUGUUAUUAGGGAAGAACAAAUGUGUAAGUAACUAUGCACGUCUUGACGGUACCUAAUCAGAAAGCCACGGCUAACUACGUG